UAACUCCGUGCCAGCAGCCGCAGGUAAUACGGAGGUGCAAGCGUUACUCGGAAUCACUGGGCGUAAAGGGCGCGUAGGCGGAUUAUCAAGUCUCUUGUGAAAUCUAAUGGCUUAACCAUUAAACUGCUUGGGAAACUGAUAGUCUAGAGUGAGGGAGAGGCAGAUGGAAUUGGUGGUGUAGGGGUAAAAUCCGUAGAUAUCACCAAGAAUACCCAUUGCGAAGGCGAUCUGCUGGAACUCAACUGACGCUAAGGCGCGAAAGCGUGGGGAGCAAACAGGAUUAGAUACCCGGGUAGUCCACGCCCUAAACGAUGUACACAAGUGGUUGGGAUGCUAGUCACCUGAGUAAUGCGGCUAACGCAUUAAGUGUACCGCCUGGGGAGUCCGUUCUGCACGAUUAAAACUCAAAGGAAUAGACGGGGACCCGCACAAGCGGUGCACCAUGUGGUUAAAUUCGAAGAUACACAAAGAACCUUACCAGGCCUUGAGAUCCUAAGACCCUUACGUAGAUAUGACGGUGCAAGCUUGCUAGACCUAAGGGACAGAUGCU
rnacentral:rRNA from 1 species